AUUCAAUUAUAUUUUCUAUUUUAUUAAAUGGGAUUUUAUUCCUAAUUAAAUAGAUAUAUAUGAUUAAUAUUUAAUAUAAUGAAUUAAUGGGCUUAUUGGCCACCUAAGGCCCUAAGGCCCAUACAUGGAGGCCCAAAGCCCAUAAAGCCCAUGAAGCCCAUCUCUAAAAUCUAUAAAUAGAGGUGUUGGAGUGCUCAUUAUCACAACGUGAAAGAGUG
rnacentral:lncRNA from 1 species